GGCCUGAUGGUGUAGUGGUUACACAUCCUCUUUAAUUGCAGGAUGAUGCCAUAUAUGAAAUUACUUAUGAGGAAGUUUCCGGUUCGAAUCCGGGUUAGGCCA